ensembl:lncRNA
GAAUAAGUUAAAAGAUCAGAAUGAGAAGCUCUAGGCUUCGCUUGUAGCUCAGUUGGUAAAGAGUCUGACUGCUAUGCAGGAGACCUGGGUUUGAUCCCUGGGUCAGGAAGAUUCCCUGGAGAAGGAAAUGGCAACUCGCUCCAGUAUUCUUGCCUGAAGAAUCCCAUGGACAAAGGAGCCUGGCAGGCUACAGUCUAUGAGGUCACAAGAGUGACACAACUGAGCGACUAAGCACACAGCAUACAGCACGCACCCAGUCAGCAGGAGGUAGGAUGAGGAAGUAGAAGAAAGAAAAGCUGAGAGUCACAGCAGCUAGAAAUAGAAGAGACAUUAUGUAAAUACCAGAAAGCUCAGGGGAGAAAAAUGGAAUGAAAUAGUUAAAGAAAUAAGAAAAAUGUAACAGGAUUUUUGGAAAUUUCAAGACCUUAGAAUGACAAGGGCUGGUAGAGCACCAAACAAGAAGAAUAAGGAAAGCCUCCCACAGGGCCUAGCAAAGAGAAGUGGUGGACUUUACUAUCUUCCAGAAAGAAAGAGCAGCUCAUCUACAAGGAAAGAAGAAUAAGAUUGGCAUCAGAUUUCUCCACAGCAACAGUGGAUGGAAGAAAAAUUAGUGUGUUUAAGAACGGAAACAGAUGGAGGCCGAAAUUGAAUUGCUGCUGACUGUUGUCCCUUGUUAUGGCCUGUGGAGAUAUGACAAUUGAGGAAGAACUUAGAGAAAUGCCAAGUAGUAGAGCAUGAAGGAGUGGGUGUGACCCACUGCCUUGGAUAUUUUAUGGCUGAUAGCAUUUGGCAAGAAAAAAUCUGCAGCCUCUAUAGUAGUCUUGCAAAUAGAUUUCAACAUCAACCAUGCGCCCACCCUCAUCCCUGUUUGAUUUGCCCUGUAAAGUAUAUAUUUGCCAAAAUCUGCCCUUCUAAUUUUCAGUUACCUCACUGGACCCCUUGUAAACACCUAAAUAUUGAAAUAAAUAACACUUGAAAAGUUCUUUAUUUAAUUAAAAAUUGGGGCACAGAAAAUAGAGGCAAGGAACAUGAAAUUUCUUAACCAUCCUACUUUUCAUUCCUUUUGGAUUUGUCCUAUUUUCCAGCCUGUUUGACCAGAAAUUUUUACCAAGAGAGUCUUUGAAUGAUCUUCCAGGGGUGCUUGCCUCAUGGGAAUUAGAAGUACAAUAUCUGUG